UUCAUGGAGAGUUUGAUCCUGGCUCAGGACGAACGCUGGCGGCGUGCCUAAUACAUGCAAGUCGAGCGGACCGACGGGAGCUUGCUCCCUUGGGUCAGCGGCGGACGGGUGAGUAACACGUGGGUAACCUGGCCUGUAAGACUGGGAUAACUCCGGGAAACCGGGGCUAAUACCGGAUGCUUGAUUGAACCGCAUGGUUCAAUCAUAAAAGGUGGCUUUUAGCUACCACUUACAGAUGGACCCGCGGCGCAUUAGCUAGUUGGUGAGGUAACGGCUCACCAAGGCGACGAUGCGUAGCCGACCUGAGAGGGUGAUCGGCCACACUGGGACUGAGACACGGCCCAGACUCCUACGGGAGGCAGCAGUAGGGAAUCUUCCGCAAUGGACGAAAGUCUGACGGAGCAACGCCGCGUGAGUGAUGAAG
rnacentral:rRNA from 1 species